rnacentral:rRNA from 1 species
AGCGUUGUCCGGAAUCAUUGGGCGUAAAGCGCGUGUAGGCGGUUCGGUAAGUCUGCUGUGAAAGUCCAGGGCUCAACCCUGGGAUGCCGGUGGAUACUGUCGGACUAGAGUACGGAAGAGGCGAGUGGAAUUCCCGGUGUAGCGGUGAAAUGCGCAGAUAUCAGGAGGAACACCUGUGGUGUAGACGGCUUUCUGGACCAUAGCUGACGCUGAGACACGAAAGCGUGGGUAGCAAACAGG